rnacentral:lncRNA from 1 species
AGGAUUCUGAGUGCAGGAUCUGCCACGGCCACUAGGGUGUCCCGGAGGCUCUAACCCUGGUCAUGAGAAACUGAGGAGGAGGAAAAAGAAUUUUCGCUCUGCCCAUUAUGGCGAGUGCUUUGCGGAGGCCCUUCUCCUCCAGGGCAUCCGGGAAACGCAGAAGUUAUCCAGGUGAAAAGUUCUUCCCUGCAGUCACGCUCCCAUUCUCGUGUCAACCUCUGUGUGAGCCAGGAGGGAUUCAGAAACAAAAGCGCAUCCCUUGACUAUGGAAGCCUCUGGUUUAGAACCUGUGUCGCUGACAACCCACUGGCCUAGAUUUGGGGUCCCUUUGAAAUGCAGAUGCAGCAGGUUUCCUGCACCGUGAAUCCAACUGUGCCAAGCCUAGGCUCGCGCGGAACCAAUCCUGAGCGCGACCCGGGCACUGGGACGCCGACUCCGCCGAAGGUGAACGAGGCAGCGGGACCGGUCCGCGCCCGAGCGUGGAGAUGA